rnacentral:lncRNA from 1 species
GGAGAGAGAAAACGCCAGCCAGCUGAAAAGCCAGGAGAAAGCAGCAGAGAAAGAUGGUUUUGUAACCCAUAUCUCCCUUCAGGCUAUUCAUGCAAUACUGUUUAUUUCACAUCUGCAAAACUGGGCCUCCCUUUUUUGGAAUGAUGUUUCUUCUGAUUUCAAGGAGAUAAGAAGACAAAAGACCCUGAUCCUAAACAAAAGAAAAUCAGAUGUAGACUUGGAUGGAAUAGAAUAUAUUCUAUUUGGGCUUGGAUUGAAAUAGUUCUUCAAAUGAGGAGAUCAAGAUUAAGACUGCUGAACUGAUAAAGGUAAAGUUUGCCCCUAUGUAAAGCCAUGAUUUUACACUUCUAAAAAAGUAUUCAAUUCUUUAUAAAUAUUAGAUACACUUUAGCUCUCAACAUAAUCCUGUGUUCUGGGG